UGCAGUCGAGGGGUAUGGUAGCAAUACCAGAGACCGGCGCACGGGUGAGUAACGCGUAUGCAACCUGCCCUUUACAGGAGGAUAGCCCGUCGAAAGGCGGAUUAAUACUCCAUAAGAUGGUACUACCGCAUGGUAGAGCCAUAAAAGCUUCGGCGGUAAAGGAUGGGCAUGCGUGACAUUAGCUAGUUGGCGGGGUAACGGCCCACCAAGGCUACGAUGUCUAGGGGUUCUGAGAGGAAGGUCCCCCACACUGGUACUGAGACACGGACCAGACUCCUACGGGAGGCAGCAGUGAGGAAUAUUGGUCAAUGGGCGCGAGCCUGAACCAGCCAUCCCGCGUGCAGGAAGACGGCCCUAUGGGUUGUAAACUGCUUUUGUGCAGGAAGAACGCUCAAUACGUGUAUUGAAGUGACGGUACUGCAUGAAUAAGCACCGGCUAAC
rnacentral:rRNA from 1 species